ACGGAGGAUGCAAGCGUUAUCCGGAUUUAUUGGGUUUAAAGGGUGCGCAGGCGGAAAAAUAAGUCAGUGGUGAAAUCCUGCAGCUUAACUGUAGAAUUGCCGUUGAUACUGUUAUUCUUGAGUGUGGUCAAGGUAGGCGGAAUGUGUAAUGUAGCGGUGAAAUGCUUAGAUAUUACACAGAACACCGAUUGCGAAGGCAGCUUACUGGGCCAUUACUGACGCUCAUGCACGAAAGCGUGGGGAUCGAACAG
rnacentral:rRNA from 1 species